rnacentral:rRNA from 1 species
UACGGAGGGUGCGAGCGUUGUCCGGAAUCACUGGGCGUAAAGGGCGCGUAGGCGGGCUGAUAAGUAGGGGGUGAAAUCCUGCGGCUUAACCGCAGGGCUGCCUUCUAAACUGUCAGGCUAGAGCACAGUAGAGGCAGGUGGAAUUCCCGGUGUAGCGGUGGAAUGCGUAGAGAUCCGGAGGAACCCCAGAGGCGAAGGCGGCGUCCUGGCUCGCAUCUGACGCUCAGACACGACAGCAUGGGGAGCGAACGGG